rnacentral:tRNA from 1 species
GCCCUGAUAGCUCAGUGGUAGAGCAGUUGGCUGUUAACCAAAAGGCCGCAGGUUCAAGUCCUGCUCAGGGCG